AGUGGGUUGGCCUAGUGGUAAGGCGUCUCUCUCACACUCUCCUCUCUAGACAGAAAGAGCCGAGCAGAGAAAAUCGAGGGUUCGAUCCCCUCACUCACUA